GACGUAGGGCGCGAGCGUUGUCCGGAUUUAUUGGGCGGAAAGAGCUUGUAGGCGGUUUGUCGCGUCUGCUGUGAAAAUCCGGGGCUCAACCCCGGACUUGCAGUGGGUACGGGCAGACUGGAGUGUGGUAGGGGAGACUGGAAUUCCUGGUGUAGCGGUGGAAUGCGCAGAUAUCAGGAGGAACACCGAUGGCGAAGGCAGGUCUCUGGGCCACUACUGACGCUGAGAAGCGAAAGCAUGGGGAGCGAACAGG
rnacentral:rRNA from 1 species